CUAAACGCCUCAAUGCCGAUUAUUCAGGGCACAUUUCCAAAAAUGCAGAUUCAAUCCAGUGGAGUCAAUUUACGCACAUUCCAACUCAGAGGAGCGAGCGUGCCCUAACAGAUUCAAUCUAUUUUUAAGAGCAGAUUCAAUCCAGUUUUUUUUAGGAAUAACUGCCCUAACGGCACUCAAAUUAGGCCAUUUGGAAUGCCCGUUUAAAAAAACAGGCAGAUCGACGCCAUAUUACAUGACCGUUAAAAAAAGCAGAUCGACGCCCUAUUACAUGACCGUUGUAAAAAAGCAGGAUUUCACUUCUUUAUAUGGUCGGGUUUACUUGAGAAGUUGGACAGAUUGUAUUGUUCAUUUUAUUUUUUGGUUUAAUUUGCCUUCCGUUGUAUGUUUUUGGUGUGGUCAUGCCUUUUUUUGAGUUUUGCUUUCCUAAUUUUCGGUUUCAAUUUUUUUGUGAUCUUAGAUUUUGUAUUUGUAUUCAGACGUUUUCAUUUACUUUGUGUGUUUGAAUUGUAGUUUUCUUAGUAUUUUGUGUAUCUUCCAAUUUCCGUGGGUCGUCAUUUUUUAGUUGGUAGGCAGCAGCAAGGACUCUACGUUCUGGAGUGGCUGAUUGGAGAUAUUGCCAGGAAAUAGUAAAUUGAUUGGAGUGUUUGACUUGCACUGUUGGGGGAAAUGUUUGGAGGCUUGCUUGGGUAUCUGCUAAAGUCAAAUAAUGAAUGUAAUAUUUAAAAUUGAAGAAAAUGUUGUAUUUUUGAAUAUGUAAACAGAUUUGUUUUUUAAUGCCAAACUUUUAUUUGGGAGGGGUUAGAUUGACCCCCUUCCUUCCAAGACUGUGGAGAAUGGUCAUUGGCCACGACCAUUCUUUUCAGUCUAGUGUUAGUGUCUCUAUGUUAAUUUUUUAAUAUAUUUUUUAUUGCAUAAUUUUAAUGUUUUUUUAAUUUAA